UGUUUUUGGACUAGUGGAUCAACUAAUAGGAACAAAGUAAUGGUGGAACAACUGCGUAACUUUGGCAUAAUCAAGUCAAAGAAAGUGGCAGAAGUAAUGGAGACCAUUGAUAGGGGAUUAUUCGUUCCUGCGGGCACCUCAGCUUAUGAUGAUACCCCUAUGCAAAUAGGUUACAAUGCGACUAUAUCUGCACCUCAUAUGCAUGCAACUUGUCUAGAGCUGUUGAAGGAGCAUCUGCAACCGGGCAUGCGUGCUUUAGAUGUUGGUUCAGGAACUGGUUACUUGACGGCAUGUUUUGCG
rnacentral:misc_RNA from 1 species